rnacentral:tRNA from 1 species
UGGGGGAUCGUCUAACGGCAGGACGCCAGUCUCUGGAUCUGGCUAUCAAGGUUCGAAUCCUUGUCCCCCAACCA